rnacentral:tRNA from 1 species
GCCUGGGUGGUGAAAUCGGUAUACACGCACCGCUUAAAACGGUGUGCCGUAAGGCAUGUCGGUUCGAUUCCGACCCCAGGCA